UACGUAGGGUGCAAGCGUUAAUCGGAAUUACUGGGCGUAAAGCGUGCGCAGGCGGUCAUGCAAGACAGGUGUGAAAUCCCCGAGCUCAACUUGGGAACUGCAUUUGUGACUGCAUGACUAGAGUACGGUAGAGGGGGAUGGAAUUCCGCAUGUAGCAGUGAAAUGCGUAGAUAUGCGGAGGAACACCGAUGGCGAAGGCAAUCCCCUGGACCUGUACUGACGCUCAUGCACGAAAGCGUGGGGAGCAAACAGG
rnacentral:rRNA from 1 species